AACAUCUGCAUCUCGGUAACUGAAACACAAGCCAUGCAUGUUGUUGUGACUGCAGAGAAGACUGGUUUGCACUCAAGAGAAACUAGGGCGUGACUCCCACCCAGAUCCAGCUUUUACUGUAUCAGCCACCUAAGCUCUUUCAGCUUGCUUACUUGUCUGUGAGAAGGCUGGGGUUCAUCCAUACCCCUCUGGGUGUGAGGGGAAUAAAACCACACAUACCUGGCUCCCAUAAGCUCAAGAAGGUGCUGUGACAUUCCCUAGGAGGGUCCCCAUACUGAGCUGGCAGCUCAUCCUUGCCUCCCUGAUGACCACAGGGACUAGUAAAUCACACCCUGCAUAGGGAGGACCUGUCAGUAUACUUCAUCUUGUCCUAACAGGAACUCAAAACAAUAGAGUGAAAAAUAGUAAAAAUCUCAUCAACACACAGUGCGUGGGUAGGGUAGCUCAAGCCCUGUUCCGUGUACUGGGUCACAGACACCAUAAAGUGACAUUUUGAAAUUUCCAUGCUUCGGCUUAUCCCUCCUCACUGUGAAGCAGGUGGUCACCCUGGAUCCCUUUAUGCUUCCAAUACUGUGACCAAAUUCAAAAGGCCGUAUUCAAAGACAACAACGGGCCCAUAAAAAGAAAGAGGAGAGCUUUUCUGUCUGUAUCCUAUUCUUAGCAAGGAAGCCUUUCACAGACAAAUUCUGCCAUCAGAUUGCGUUUCUCAUCAGCUCAUCGUGCAGCGGGGAUUCAUAGUGAAAUCUCCACCACCUUCCAUUUGGUAAAAAUAUCAAAAUUGUUAACUGUGACUUUUCUCCCAGGUACUCCCCAGGAAAAACGGAAACUGAUCUACCCAGCCUGGCAGCUGAACCUAAGAAGGAAUCAGGCAGAUGAAGAGGGAGGGAGAAAUAUGAGUGGGCAAGUGGCAUCAACAUUGGGACCUACAAAGCAAGAUUGCUCCCAGGUGGAUGAACCUGUGGUUGUGAGUAACCUUACCAUUUGAUGUUUUCUAUUAGCACAAUUUAUUUUUGAGAAAUCAUGUUAAGUAGUACAGAUG
rnacentral:lncRNA from 1 species